UACGAAGGGGGCUAGCGUUGCUCGGAAUCACUGGGCGUAAAGGGUGCGUAGGCGGGUCUUUUAAGUCAGGGGUGAAAUCCUGGAGCUCAACUCCAGAACUGCCUUUGAUACUGAAGAUCUUGAGUCCGGGAGAGGUGAGUGGAACUGCGAGUGUAGAGGUGAAAUUCGUAGAUAUUCGCAAGAACACCAGUGGCGAAGGCGGCUCACUGGCCCGGUACUGACGCUGAGGCACGAAAGCGUGGGGAGCAAACAGGG
rnacentral:rRNA from 1 species